GGAGCCGGGUCAGAGUCGAAGAUGACCUGAGCACAGGGGUUUAUCCACAUCUACAGCAGAAAGAAAGAGAGAGAGACGAAGAGCCACAGAUUUCCACAGCUCCAGCGCCAACAUGCCAGCCUUUCGGUCAGCCGAAGAGGAGCUCUCGUACCUGUGCUGGUCGAAGGGGUACGUGAUGAACUUUGGGUCAAACGGGAUGUCAGGGAGGCUGUUGCAGUACUUAACACGGCACACAACACCUGACCUGAGGGAAAGGAGAAGAAAACAGUCCGUAUUAAACCUCCACCUGUAAAACCUGCUGUAAAAGCCAUGAUUAAACCCAUCGCUGGGGUCGGCGUCUGUUAACCGAUACUGAACACUGAGAUAUAUUAACGUCAGUCAUACGGUACCUUUCGGGUAUGGCUCUGUGCGAAGAGCUCCUGUAUCACAGGGAAAAAUAAAAAGAUAAACAAUUAGGGCAGAAAUACAUCAUACAGAAGAUGACAAACCUGAUGAGACUAACAAACAACAAAGACUGAAUAAACAACCACAGAAUGUCCUGAAAGUGGGAACCUAAAUACCUAAAUAAAGUGUGUUUUUAAUACUUUA